rnacentral:rRNA from 1 species
AACGAACGCUGGCGGCAGGCCUAAUACAUGCAAGUCGAACGCUCCAGCAAUGGAGAGUGGCAGACGGGUGAGUAACGCGUGGGAACCUUCCCAGUGGUACGGAAUAGCUCAGGGAAACUUGAGGUAAUACCGUAUACGCCCCAAGGGGGAAAGAUUUAUCGCCAUUGGAUGGGCCCACGUCGGAUUAGCUAGCUGGUGGGGUAAUGGCCUACCAAGGCGACGAUCCGUAGCUGGUCUGAGAGGAUGAUCAGCCACACUGGGACUGAGACACGGCCCAGACUCCUACGGGAGGCAGCAGUAGGGAAUAUUGGACAAUGGGCGAAAGCUUGAUCCAGCCAUGCCGCGUGAGUGACGAAGGCCUUCGGGUUGUAAAGCUCUUUUGGCGGGGACGAUAAUGACGGUACCCGCAGAAUAAGCUCCGGCUAACUUCGUGCCAGCCGCCGCGGUAAGAC